AAUCAACGCUGGCGGCGUGCCUAACACAUGCAAGUCGAACGCGAAAGCCCCGCAAGGGGCAAGUAGAGUGGCAAACGGGUGAGUAACACGUGGGUGACCUGCCUUCGAGCGGGGGAUAACGUCCCGAAAGGGACGCUAAUACCGCAUAACAUCCUGCCUUUGAAGAGGUGGAGAUCAAAGCUGGGGAUCGCAAGACCCGGCACUUGAAGAGGGGCCCGCGUCUGAUUAGCUAGUUGGNGGGGUAAUGGCCUACCAAGGCAACGAUCAGUAUCCGGCCUGAGAGGGCGGACGGACACACUGGGACUGAGACACGGCCCAGACUCCUACGGGAGGCAGCAGUGGGGAAUUGUUCGCAA
rnacentral:rRNA from 1 species